GACGCGGGUGGCUUCAGCCCUCAGAAAACUUGGGGCGCCACCCCUCA
rfam:Hepatitis C virus (isolate JFH-1) genomic RNA, complete genome.